rnacentral:rRNA from 1 species
UACGAAGGGGGCUAGCGUUGCUCGGAAUCACUGGGCGUAAAGCGCACGUAGGCGGAUCUUUAAGUCAGGGGUGAAAUCCUGGAGCUCAACUCCAGAAUUGCCUUUGAUACUGGGGAUCUCGAGUCCGGAAGAGGUGAGUGGAACUCCGAGUGUAGAGGUGAAAUUCGUAGAUAUCGGGAGGAACACCAGUGGCGAAGGCGACUUCCUGGCCUGUUCUUGACGCUGAGGCGCGAAAGCUAGGGGAGCAAACGGG